GCCCCUAUAGCUCAAUUUGGUAGAGCAACGGCCUCUUAAGCCGCAGGUUGUAGGUUCGAGUCCUACUGGGGGCA
rnacentral:tRNA from 1 species